UGUUCUGUGGCUUAGUUGGUUAAAGCACCGAUCUGGCGAAUACGGUAUCGUGGGCUCAAAUCUCACCAUUACGC
rnacentral:tRNA from 1 species